UCGCCAUCCCUCCUUCUCCCAUUUUCUGAUCCGUCAAGGAGGAUGCCAUGGCCGCCACUUUGAACUCCAUGGCCAGCGGCGGUUCACAUGCCCAACCGAAGGCCCUAGAUCUGCUCUGAAUUUCCGUUGCUGCACCGCCACUGGAACCUGAGUGGACCACUGCUGCUCCCGGCAUGAUGCGUGCUGAUGCAUAAGAAUGCAGCUGACGCGGGUACUGAACCUGUACGAGGGUGCUUCUGAACUGCAUAUAGUUUGGCAGUCCACAUGCAGGAAAACAUGAAGUGAAUUGGUCAGUAUGAAGAAUUUCAGAGAUGAAAGAACUUUAAGUGCGCAGAAUGCCUUCGGUAAAGGUGGUCACUACUGCUGUUUCAUAGACACCAGCAAGCCCUCGUCCACGUGUUUGGUUCAAAAGUUCUGUUAUUUGGGACACAAAUCUGACUGGCAACGACGUCACCCAUAAAAAUGUAAAAGAAGCAGUUCAGGAUCGACGUUGUGGAAGUUCGUUGGUAGCAACGACGGGUGUCCACCAACAGCUGGUUACUUAUAUCACCUUUUGGGACAGUCCCUUUCUUCCUCUCUAUGU